AUUGAACGCUGGCGGCAGGCCUAACACAUGCAAGUCGAGCGAGCGGCGGACGGGUGAGGAAUGUAUGGGGACUGCCCGAUAGAGGGGGAUAACUACUGGAAACGGUAGCUAAUAUCUCAUACUAUCGUAUCACCCCUAUGGGAUUCGCUAGUAGGUGUGGUAAUGGCUCACCUAGGCGACGAUCCCUAGCUGGGCUGGGAGGAUGAUCAGCCACACUGGGACUGAGACACGGCCCAGACUCCUACGGAGGCAGCAGUGGGGAAUAUUGCACAAUGGGCGCAAGCCUGAUGCAGCCAUGCCGCGUGUAUGAAGAAGGCCCUAGGGUUGUAAAGUACUUUCAGUCGGGAGGCGGGACAGAAAGAAGAAGCACCGGCUAACUCCGUGCCAGCAGACGCGGUAAGUC
rnacentral:rRNA from 1 species